AGAUAAGCCAGAGUCCCAGGGUCUUCUUCACGCCCCAUUACCGCCCCCAGGUUCCUCGACCAAGGUCUGGACGACAACUAUUGCCGGAGUCCUGACGGCUCCCAGCGGCCAUGAUGCUACACUACGGAUCCGCAGAUCGAGCGAGAGUUCUGUGACCUCCCCCGCUGCGGGUCCGAGGCACAGCCCCGCCAAGAGGCCACAAGUGUCAGCUGCUUCCGCGGGAAGGGUGAGGGCUACCGGGGCACAGCCAAUACCACCACCGCGGGCGUACCUUGCCAGCGUUGGGACGCGCAAAUCCCGCAUCAGCACCGAUUUACGCCAGAAAAAUACGCGUGCAAAGACCUUCGGGAGAACUUCUGCCGGAACCUCGACGGCUCAGAGGCGCCCUGGUGCUUCACACUGCGGCCCGGCAUGCGCGUGGGCUUUUGCUACCAGAUCCGGCGUUGUACAGACGACGUGCGGCCCCAGGACUGCUACCACGGCGCGGGGGAGCAGUACCGCGGCACGGUCAGCAAGACCCGCAAGGGUGUCCAGUGCCAGCGCUGGUCCGCUGAGACGCCGCACAAGCCGCAGUGAGUCCCUGGUGCUCCCGGCCCCGCCAGGGCCCUAACCCUGGGGCGGCAUGCUUUGGUGUCUGGGACCAGAGCCUGGAAAUGGUUGAGACUACCCUGCCACGAUUUUGCUCCCGCUCCCGCCUCGGUUCACGUUUACCUCCGAACCGCAUGCACAACUGGAGGAGAACUUCUGCCAGACCCAGAUGGGGAUAGCCAUGGGCCCUGGUGCUACACGAUGGACCCAAGGACCCCAUUCGACUACUGUGCCCUGCGACGCUGCGCUGAUGACCAGCCGCCAUCAAUCCUGGACCCCCCCAGACCAGGUGCAGUUUGAGAAGUGUGGCAAGAGGGUGGAUCGGCUGGAUCAGCGUCGUUCCAAGCUGCGCGUGGCUGGGGGCCAUCCGGGCAACUCACCCUGGACAGUCAGCUUGGGGAAUCGGCAGGGCCAGCAUUUCUGCGCGGGGUCUCUAGUGAAGGAGCAGUGGAUACUGACUGCCCGGCAGUGCUUCUCCUCCUGCCAUAUGCCUCUCACGGGCUAUGAGGUAUGGUUGGGCACCCUGUUCCAGAACCCACAACAUGGAGAGCCAGGCCUACAGCGGGUCCCAGUAGCCAAGAUGCUGUGUGGGCCCUCAGGCUCCCAGCUUGUCCUGCUCAAGCUGGAGAGAUCUGUGACCCUGAACCAGCGUGUGGCCCUGAUCUGCCUGCCGCCUGAAUGGUAUGUGGUGCCUCCAGGGACCAAGUGUGAGAUUGCAGGCUGGGGUGAGACCAAAGGUACGGGUAAUGACACAGUCCUAAAUGUGGCCUUGCUGAACGUCAUCUCCAACCAGGAGUGUAACAUCAAGCACCGAGGACAUGUGCGGGAGAGCGAGAUGUGCACUGAGGGACUGUUGGCCCCUGUGGGGCCCUGUGAGGGUGACUACGGGGGCCCACUUGCCUGCUUUACCCACAACUGCUGGGUCCUGGAAGGAAUUAGAAUCCCCAACCGAGUAUGCGCAAGGUCGCGCUGGCCAGCCGUCUUCACACGUGUCUCUGUGUUUGUGGACUGGAUUCACAAGGUCAUGAGACUGGGUUAGGCCCAGCCUUGACGCCAUAUGCUUUGGGGAGGACAAAACUUUUAAGUACAGUCAACGACAAGACUUGUACUCAAGGUUGAGAUUUAAUAAAAUUAAUAUUUUUACUACUUCACCAAGGACUUUCUUAAACGAAAAUGGUUUUUCCCCCUGCAAGUAAACAGUAAUGAAGAA